rnacentral:lncRNA from 1 species
UUCAUCCUAUGUAAUACAAUUGAAUCAAUCUAUAGAAUACCAAACAUUCCAAAAUUGUGUUCAAUCAUUCCACAAGAUUCAAAUAAUGGUACAACACAGGCACCAUUUUGCCUGCGCGUCACAAUGCCGUCUCGAUUCCCAUGCUCAUUAUUGUACUGUAACCUAUUUCCCAUCUUCACCACCCUUUCCCCGACGCUUCCCUUUGCCCUCAAAAUUACUGUUGCCAAUUCUUAUUUCCCAUCUUCUUUGAGUACUUUUUUGUGACGAUCCCACCUCCCCCUUGAGCGUACCUCAGGAUUUAGUAGACCGCCUGCCCAACUCUCGCCAGGAUUCACUCACUCAUUCCAACUCAAAUAGGGUACAACCUCAAUAAUAAAGGAAAUAACAGUUACCGACUUAGGAAAGUACAAUUACAUUCAUUUCUGUCUCAAACAUCUAUACAACCCCAAAUACAUCAAAAGAUUGGAGUUCUAAAUACAUUCAACCCUAAUCGAGCGACUAGUACGAGUACAAUUACAAAAUUUAAAAAACUAGACUACGCUAGUCUGUACAAGUCUCACGCCUCGCCCGUACCCCCUGUAAGGAAAACAAAUGACGUGGAAUGAGCUAAAAGUCUAGUGAGGUUCCAAAUAGCAAGUCGAUCAUUAUUUAGAAGUGAAAGUAUCAGAAUAGGAAAAUAGCGAGCAUGACAAGUCCAUAAAAGUGAGUAAUAACACUUCAAUUAGCCAAUCUCAAAGUGAGCGAGUGUAAAGUGUUUUUUUCUCAAAAGAAACAAUAAUCCAAUAAGCAAUAAUCAUUUCAAAGUAUAAAGAUACGGAUGACUCUCAGGAACCAAGUUCUCAUUGCUUCACCAGAGUUUAAUCAAAUAGUAGUUGACAUUCCGUCAACUUUCAAGAAAGUAACCAAUCCAAUAGAGCACCAUUUAGCUACAAUCUCCAUCCACCAUCAAAACCCCCUACUGGACCCAAAAUUCUCGAUAAACACUGGUGAUAAUACUCGAGCAUGCCGAUUAGUCGAUGAGAUAACACUUCACUCGACAACACUAGAUACCCAUGGUUCAUUAUCUAAUCGACCAAACCCUUGCCGGCUCGACUCGAUUAACUAGCCAGUGGGGUUUGGGGUCCCCAAGAGGUUGAUGAGAUAACAUCUCCAAUCGACUGAAUCAAGAUUAAAGUACGGAGACGAGAAUAAGAGGCACCUCCCACUCAGAUUGAGUGUGGUACAUAUUGCCGUUCAGCACUUACAAGUUAAGUACAAGUAUUUCAAAUCAAUUGCAAUAAUAAACAAGUACAUACCACAUUAGGGCAAGUGCGAUAAAGUACACCCUUGCCCGACCAUACCAAUCAAUUAUCAUUCGAUCACAUUAGUCAAGUAUUGAAAACAAAUGUCAGUUCAAUCAGGUAUUUGGAAGCACUCACCAAAGAUUUAGUGCUUCUACAGAUCACGUUCAGGCAUUACUCCUUGUUGGGAGUCUAAAUCUGCGAUAAAACAUCGUUUAAGAGCUUUAAAAUCACGAAGGUUCGAAACUUAAACGUUUCGUUUAACGAGAAUCAAGUGAUUGAAACUCAUUUGGAGAAUAUUCGUAAAACUCAUGCUCACUCUUAAAACUUUGAAACAAUUAAACUUUGAAAUCACCAUUUGAGUCGAAGAGACGAGGAAAACGUAUUUCUAUUAGUUGUUACUUUCAUUUUUCUAAGGGUACAAGUUUUGGCCGAAUUCUAGAAUACAUACCUCCAUGAAAGAGGACUUGAAUAACCUAGACAAUUCAAACUCAAUUCAACCCCAACUCUUCGCUCAAACUACAAGUGCACACGUCUAGUUCUCGAAUGAAAAUUUGGGCAGCACGCCCUUUGUAUUUACCUAUUUUUCAGUCAUUUAUGAUUUCAUUAUUUUUCUCAGAUCAACCCCAAAGUCACACACAAGCAAUGUUACCAUCAUAGCUCUUCAAUUAGGCUCCAAAAUCAUCCAAUUAUAACACAAGUCUAAUAAUACAACCGGAAAUCAGUUUUGAAGACAAAAGACUAAACAGCAGAUUUGACAUGUUAUAAGAUUUUAGUCACAACUGGAGCUACGUUUAUCAGAUUGGGGUAACUUUAUACCAUUUCGAAGUUAAGACAAAGUGUUACAACUUUCAUGAAGACAAGUCAACCCAGUUCACAUUUGAUCCAGGUCGAAUUUGCAGAUUACAGGACCAGAAUUUCAAUGUCAGUCUGGUUGUCAGCACUGGAUUUGAAUGACAAUAACUCAAACUACAAAAUUCCGAUUAAGGCGUUUUUAGAUGCAUUGGAAAGCUGAAACAUAGGGCUAAAAUUUUCAUGUUUUCAUCAAAUGCUGAUUUGAUACGGAUCUAAGUGAAAAAAAAAGCCAAAAAUGUGAAAUCUCAAAACUGUCCGCAAAACAGUACAUUUGGCAAUCAAGGGUAUUUUUAUCAUAUCACAUGAUACAGUACUCCGAUUGAGUUGAAAUUUUACAGGAAGCUAUAUAACACCAUUUUCUACAAUUUUUAUGUUUUGAUCGAAGCCUGAUUCCACCUCUAACAUGGACGAAUUAAUAAGGUCAGAAGCAAGACAGUGUCAAUCUUAAAGCUGGAAAUUUAAUGAAUUCAAGGUUUAAAAUUCUCAUUCAUGUCUUGAACUACUAUCCCAACUCCCUAUCCAAGCUUAUAAACAUCAUAUGCUAUAUAAACAACAAAAAAUACAACUGAACAACUUAAACCCUAGCUCAAAAAUCCAUCACAUCCAUCAAAACUACUUAAAUAACCAUCCUUAGCGAAGAGUAUGAGUUGCUAGCCAAACUUAAACAAGAUUAAGGGAGAGAAAUAGAAAAGACAGCCAUAAUACCUCACCAAGGAUGCUUGCAAGAGAAAAUCACAACCUUUCCUUCCAAAACUUUACCACACAAAGCUUUCCAACCACCAAAAGAGAAGUUUAAUCAGUUUAGUUCGGUUGAUUUCACUCAAACAAGGCAA